rnacentral:tRNA from 1 species
GCCUGGGUAACUCAGUUGGUUGAGUGUCUGACUGAGGCCCAGGUCAUGAUCUCAUGGUCUGUGAGUUCGAGCCCCACAUCGGGCU